rnacentral:rRNA from 1 species
UACGAAGGGGGCUAGCGUUGCUCGGAAUCACUGGGCGUAAAGCGCACGUAGGCGGAUUGUUAAGUCAGGGGUGAAAUCCUGGAGCUCAACUCCAGAACUGCCUUUGAUACUGGCGAUCUCGAGUCCGGGAGAGGUGAGUGGAACUGCGAGUGUAGAGGUGAAAUUCGUAGAUAUUCGCAAGAACACCGGUGGCGAAGGCGGCAUCCUGGACCAAUUCUGACGCUGAGGAGCGAAAGCCAGGGGAGCAAACGGG